rnacentral:lncRNA from 1 species
UUUUUUUCUUUGCUGUAUAGAUUCUGUUUACCACUUGCCAAACUGUUAUUUCACAUAUGUGAAAAGAAAACUGGACGGAAUACAUAUGAAACAAGCUAUUGGCAAGGGAAGUGCAAGGGCUUGCCAUCGAGAAGAUGAGAUUCACAGGAAACGCCUUUUACCUUCUUCAAAGUCAACAAAUGCAUUAAAAAAAAAAAAUCAUAAAAAGGAAAAGAUUUGUCUGAAAGGAGAAGGGAUACUUCAGGUAACUCUGAAUUUCCAAGAUACUUAUCCUCAAAGACUUGUACCGUUCACUUGCAUGGUCACUAGAAUUCUGGGGUUCACUACACUGAGUGAAGACAGAACAUCAUGAAGUACUGUUUGUAUUCCAGUCUGUGUUCCCUACUUGUUCAGCAAGUCUGAAAACUCCUGAUUACAUCACCAACAAUUCUGAUUAGAUUUUGUGGGAAGAGCACUUAAAUUCUGCAGCUUUCAUUACUUUUUAUUCCAUCUUGCUUAGUCCAUAGCCUACAACAUAAUCUGUUUGAGCCCACAAGGCACAUUGUAUUUCCUUAAUUUCAGAGAGCAAGAGAAAGAAUGUAUUAAAAGCAAAGUUUUGACACACUGCAGACUAAUAGUUAAUUUCAUGGCAGGAAUUUGUUGCACACACUGUUUGCAUGUCUCUAGUUCUCAGCUGUGGUAGAAAAUUGGUUUCGGCCAAAUACACACUUGUAAAAUUUUAAAUGAAAUUAUUUCAUUAAGCAGCUUCUUCUCACCAAACUUCCACAGAUUCAGUUCCCAGAAAAGUUUUCUAAGCGCAGAUAGAAUCAUAGAACAGUUUGGGUUGGAAAGGACCUUAAGAUCAUCUAGUUCCAACCCCCUCCCCAUGGGCAGAGAUGCCUCACACUAAACCAUGUCACCCAAGCACUAGGUGAUGGGGUGCACACCAGGGAAGAAGUGUUGCAAAGCCGCCGCAUAACUUCACUGUUCUAAAGAAAUCUUAUUUAAAGUUUAUUAUGGUUAUCACAUGUAUACUUCAAAUUAUCAAUAAGGGACUGCUAAGAAUCAGAUUCAAUUAUACCAUCAGCAGCUAUUUUAUGCUGUUCCUUGUCCCUAACAGUUCCACCAUGCAGCUAAGACAAACUGACGUUUCUUUCAACUCUGCAACAGCCAAAACACAAAAGUAAAUUACUUUCCCCCCCCCCCCCCCAAAAAAAAUACUCACUUUAAAAACCAUUUCGACCUAGUAAUUUUUCAAAACUUUACAGGUGAAAAAACAAUGGAAGUGCUAUUAAACUCCCUGACAAAAACCAUACAUGAGCAGAACAAAAACUUGGACAGAAUCCAAGGAUCCCCGAUUGCUC